rnacentral:rRNA from 1 species
CCUGACGGAGCAACGCCGCGUGAGUGAUGAAGGUUUUCGGAUCGUAAAGCUCUGUUGCCAGGGAAGAACGUCCGGUAGAGUAACUGCUGCCGGAGUGACGGUACCUGAGAAGAAAGCCCCGGCUAACUACGUGCCAGCAGCCGCGGUAAUACGUAGGGGGCAAGCGUUGUCCGGAAUUAUUGGGCGUAAAGCGCGCGCAGGCGGCUAUUUAAGUCUGGUGUUUAAACCUUGGGCUCAACCUGGGGUCGCACUGGAAACUGGGUGGCUUGAGUACAGAAGAGGAAAGUGGAAUUCCACGUGUAGCGGUGAAAUGCGUAGAGAUGUGGAGGAACACCAGUGGCGAAGGCGACUUUCUGGGCUGUAACUGACGCUGAGGCGCGAAAGCGUGGGGAGCAAACAGGAUUAGAUACCCUGGUAGUCCACGCCGUAAACGAUGAGUGCUAGGUGUUAGGGGUUUCGAUACCCUUGGUGCCGAAGUUAACACAGUAAGCACUCCGCCUGGGGAGUACGGUCGCAAGACUGAAACUCAAAGGAAUUGACGGGGACCCGCACAAGCAGUGGAGUAUGUGGUUUAAUUCGAAGCAACGCGAAGAACCUUACCAGGUCUUGACAUCCAACUAACGAAGCAGAGAUGCAUCAGGUGCCCUUCGGGGAAAGUUGAGACAGGUGGUGCAUGGUUGUCGUCAGCUCGUGUCGUGAGAUGUUGGGUUAAGUCCCGCAACGAGCGCAACCCUUGACUUUAGUUGCCAGCAGGUCGAGCUGGGCACUCUAGAGUGACUGCCGGUGACAAACCGGAGGAAGGUGGGGAUGACGUCAAAUCAUCAUGCCCCUUAUGACCUGGGCUACACACGUACUACAAUGGCCGGUACAACGGGAAGCGAAGCCGCGAGGCGGAGCCAAUCCCAGCAAAG